rnacentral:miRNA from 1 species
GCGGAUAAUAUAGCCUUGCGAAGUUUGUAAUUUUCAGUCAUUUAUUUUGUAUUACGCACAGAAGUGGUAACCAUUUCCCGUUUGUAAUCUAAAAUGACUGAAAAUUGCAAACUUUGCAAGGCUAUAUUAUCUGCAUUUU